UACAGAGGGUGCAAGCGUUAAUCGGAAUUACUGGGCGUAAAGCGUGCGUAGACGGUUAUUUAAGUCAGGUGUGAAAGCCCAGGGCUCAACCUUGGAAUUGCAUUUGAGACUGAAUAGCUAGAGUGCGGAAGAGGGAAGCGGAAUUUCCGGUGUAGCGGUGAAAUGCGUAGAUAUCGGAAGGAACACCAGUGGCGAAAGCGGCUUCCUGGUCCAGCACCGACGUUCAGGCACGAAAGCGUAGGGAGCAAACAGG
rnacentral:rRNA from 1 species